UGGGGAAUUUUGGACAAUGGGCGAAAGCCUGAUCCAGCAAUGCCGCGUGUGUGAAGAAGGCCUUCGGGUUGUAAAGCACUUUUGUCCGGAAAGAAAUCCUUGGCUCUAAUACAGUCGGGGGAUGACGGUACCGGAAGAAUAAGCACCGGCUAACUACGUGCCAGCAGCCGCGGUAAUACGUAGGGUGCAAGCGUUAAUCGGAAUUACUGGGCGUAAAGCGUGCGCAGGCGGUUUGCUAAGACCGAUGUGAAAUCCCCGGGCUCAACCUGGGAACUGCAUUGGUGACUGGCAGGCUAGAGUAUGGCAGAGGGGGGUAGAAUUCCACGUGUAGCAGUGAAAUGCGUAGAGAUGUGGAGGAAUACCGAUGGCGAAGGCAGCCCCCUGGGCCAAUACUGACGCUCAUGCACGAAAGCGUGGGGAGCAAAACAGGAUUAGAUACCCUGGUAGUCCACGCCCUAAAACGAUGUCAACUAGUUGUUGGGGAUUCAUUUCCUUAGUAACGUAGCUAACGCGCGAAGUUGACCGCCUGGGGAGUACGGUCGCAAGAUUAAAACUCAAAGGAAUUGACGGGGUCAUAGCUGUUUCCU
rnacentral:rRNA from 1 species